rnacentral:rRNA from 1 species
CACGGGGGGAGCAAGCGUUGUUCGGAAUCACUGGGCGUAAAGGGCGCGUAGGCGGCCUGUUAAGUCGAACGUGAAAUCCCCGGGCUCAACCCGGGAACUGCGUCCGAUACUGGCAGGCUUGAAUCCGGGAGAGGGAUGCGGAAUUCCUGGUGUAGCGGUGAAAUGCGCAGAUAUCAGGAGGAACACCAAUUGCGAAGGCAGCUCGCUGGGACGUGACUGACGCUGAGACGCGAAAGCGUGGGGAGCAAACAGG